rnacentral:rRNA from 1 species
GAGUAAUGUCUGGGAAACUGCCUGAUGGAGGGGGAUAACUACUGGAAACGGUAGCUAAUACCGCAUAACGUCGCAAGACCAAAGAGGGGGACCUUCGGGCCUCUUGCCAUCGGAUGUGCCCAGAUGGGAUUAGCUAGUAGGUGGGGUAACGGCUCACCUAGGCGACGAUCCCUAGCUGGUCUGAGAGGAUGACCAGCCACACUGGAACUGAGACACGGUCCAGACUCCUACGGGAGGCAGCAGUGGGGAAUAUUGCACAAUGGGCGCAAGCCUGAUGCAGCCAUGCCGCGUGUAUGAAGAAGGCCUUCGGGUUGUAAAGUACUUUCAGCGGGGAGGAAGGGAGUAAAGUUAAUACCUUUGCUCAUUGACGUUACCCGCAGAAGAAGCACCGGCUAACUCCGUGCCAGCAGCCGCGGUAAUACGGAGGGUGCAAGCGUUAAUCGGAAUUACUGGGCGUAAAGCGCACGCAGGCGGUUUGUUAAGUCAGAUGUGAAAUCCCCGGGCUCAACCUGGGAACUGCAUCUGAUACUGGCAAGCUUGAGUCUCGUAGAGGGGGGUAGAAUUCCAGGUGUAGCGGUGAAAU